rfam:Tumebacillus algifaecis strain THMBR28 chromosome, complete genome.
GGAAUCGUAGCUCAGAGGGAGAGCACCACCUUGACACGGUGGGGGUCGGAGGUUCGAUUCCUCUCGAUUCCA